rnacentral:tRNA from 1 species
AGAGAAUUCAUUUAUUGAAGAUAUAAAAAUUCGAAUUUUAAAAAUAUAGUGUUGCUAUAAUUCUUUA